AUUUCCGCCCGAUUUACAACGACAGCGUUUAAAAAGAAAUACGACUGCGGAGAUACCUAAGGGAUGUAAUCCUGUGAUUUUCCCGGGAGUUUUCCCGAUAAAUGGAAAAAAAACGUAGGAUAAACCGGAAAAUAGCUGCAAUGUUAAACGAAUAUGCUAUUACGCCAUAAUAUGACAACACUAUCAACCGAACUCCUAUCGGAAUCGUUGUUUCGUU